rnacentral:rRNA from 1 species
GUAGGUGGCAAGCGUUGUCCGGAAUUAUUGGGCGUAAGCGCGCGCAGGCGGUUCUUUAAGUCUGAUGUGAAAGCCCACGGCUCAACCGUGGAGGGUCAUUGGAAACUGGAGAACUUGAGUACAGAAGAGGAAAGCGGAAUUCCACGUGUAGCGGUGAAAUGCGUAGAGAUGUGGAGGAACACCAGUGGCGAAGGCGGCUUUCUGGUCUGUAACUGACGCUGAGGCGCGAAAGCGUGGGGGGAGCAAACAGGAUUAGAUACCCUGGUAGUCCACGCCGUAAACGAUGAGUGCUAAGUGUUAGGGGGUUUCCGCCCCUUAGUGCUGCAGCUAACGCAUUAAGCACUCCGCCUGGGAGUACGGCCGCAAGGCUG